rnacentral:lncRNA from 1 species
UGCAUGAGACUGGCCAAGGCCUCCUGAAUAGAAGCCAUGGCGGCCGUGAACUGAUCAACCGUGACAACUUGUUGAUCCAUGUCUGAUCUCUCUAAAAGUCGGACUAAUCUUCUCUCUACUCUGACCCAAUAAUGAUAAAACCAUACUAAAAACCAAGUGUCGAUCCUAGAACAGGAGAAACAGAAUAAAGGUACAGCACAGGGAAAACACAGAAGAAAUAUUAAUCUAAAUUGAAAUGAGCAAGGCAUCAAAGUGUAGACGGACUGUUCGACUGUA